GAAGCAAAGGGCGAAAGUUUUUUGGUUGAGAGAUGGCGACCAUAUUACGCGUUUCUUCCAUUCUACUGCAACGGCAAGAAAGAAGAAAAAUCAGAUUAGUCAGUUGAAAGAUGUAAACUUGGGAUAUAAAUUUGGGCCAGGUAAUGGUUGACUAUUUUAAUAUUGUUUUCACUACGAAAGCUUGUGAUUCAGGUAAUGUGUUAGAUUGUAUUCCAGUUCUUGUUUAUGAAGAUGACAGUAAUCUACUUCUGAGGCCGUAUUCGGUGGAGGAAGUGAGAAGUGCUAUGCAUCCUGACAAGUCUCUUGGAUUGGAGGGAUUCAAUCCGGGACUUUACCAGCGAUACUGGGAUGUGGUGGGUCCGAAAUCUUGGUUACUUGCAUUCGGGUGUAUUUCUUGAUUCUUGAAAUGAGACUACCCUAGUUUUGAUUCUGAAAAAACAGAUCCAAAUGUGAUGGGUGAUUUGCCACCAAUUGCUCUCUGCAAUGUAGUCUCUAAGUGUCACACCAAUCAAUAGGAUUUUAUAUUUAUUUUUGAGAUUAAUGAUUUUUAUAACUUGAUUUAAAUAUAUUGUCGGAAUUUUCUUAUAAAAAUAUAUUAAAAUUUUCAUAUUUUUUCUUUUGGGUUUGGGCCUGGGCCUGGGCCUGGGCCUGAUACUAAGAUUAUGACCAAAAUGGUGGCAAAUAGGUUAAAGUGUCUUCUUCCUAAUUUAAUUUCGAAAAGUCAGAGUACUUUCAUUCUAGGAAGGAGUAUACAGGAAAACUGCAUAUUGGUCCUUGAGGUUAUGCAUGCUUACCAUCAGCGUACUAGGGGUAAGGAUUAUUCAGCAACGUUAAGAAUGGAUAUUGGUAAAGCUUAUGAUAACAUGGAGUAGUCUUAUGUGAGAGAUGUUCUUGCUCAUUUUGGCUUUCCUGCAGCAUGGAUUAAUCUAGUGUAUCAGUGUUUAUCAACGGUAUCGUACUGGAAUUUACAAUAAG
rnacentral:lncRNA from 1 species